AUUCCAGCUCCAAUAGCGUAUAUUAAAGUUGUUGCAGUUAAAAAGCUCGUAGUUGGAUUUCUGGCCGGUUCGCUGCGCCUGGCCCGCCUGCGUUAGCAGUGUGAGUGCCGGUUGCGCGGUAGCCAUCCUUCUGGAGAACGGGCCUGCCCUUCAUUGGGUGGGGUCCGCGACCCAGAUCCUUAACUUUAGAAAAAAUUAGAGUGUUUAAAGCAGGCAGUUGCUCUGAAUACAUUAGCAUGGAAUAAUGAUAUAGGACUUUGGUUCUAUUUUGUUGGUUUCUAGGACUGAAGUAAUGAUUGAUAGGGAUAGUUGGGGGUGCUAGUAUUGAGCGGCCAGAGGUGAAAUUCUUGGAUUCGCUCAAGACUAACUUAUGCGAAAGCAUUCACCAAGGAUGUCUUCAUCA
rnacentral:rRNA from 1 species